rnacentral:rRNA from 1 species
CCUACGGGAGGCAGCAGUGAGGAAUAUUGGUCAAUGGACGAGAGUCUGAACCAGCCAAGUAGCGUGAAGGAUGACUGCCCUAUGGGUUGUAAACUUCUUUUAUAUGGGAAUAAAAUGUUCCACGUGUGGGUUUUUGUAUGUACCUUAUGAAUAAGGAUCGGCUAACUCCGUGCCAGCAGCCGCGGUAAUACGGAGGAUCCGAGCGUUAUCCGGAUUUAUUGGGUUUAAAGGGAGCGUAGAUGGGUUGUUAAGUCAGUUGUGAAAGUUUGCGGCUCAACCGUAAAAUUGCAGUUGAUACUGGCAGUCUUGAGUACAGUAGAGGUGGGCGGAAUUCGUGGUGUAGCGGUGAAAUGCUUAGAUAUCACGAAGAACUCCGAUUGCGAAGGCAGCUCACUGGACUGCAACUGACACUGAGGCUCGAAAGUGUGGGUAUCAAACAGGAUUAGAUACCCUUGUAGUC